GGAGAGUCUGACUAACAUCAGGAAUAACUUUAUGAGGUUUGUGCAUCCUGACGUUUAUAUGUUGAGAAUGUGUAUUGGACAGAAGAACUAUGGAAAUAAACAAGCUGAUGGCACAGUGACUGCAGAAAACUCCAGAUGUUUGACUUCUCGCUCAAAGUAAUGAAGCACACUAGAACGCUGAUAUUCCAAGGCAUUUUUAGGUUAUGACAGAGGCAUUUUGAAUAUCCAUCAACAAAAAC